AGCGAACGGGGAGCAGCCCAGAGCCUGAAUCAGUGUGUGUGUUAGUGGAAGCGUCUGGAAAGGCGCGCGAUACAGGGUGACAGCCCCGUACACAAAAAUGCACAUGCUGUGAGCUCGAUGAGUAGGGCGGGACACGUGGUAUCCUGUCUGAAUAUGGGGGGACCAUCCUCCAAGGCUAAAUACUCCUGACUGACCGAUAGUGAACCAGUACCGUGAGGGAAAGGCGAAAAGAACCCCGGCGAGGGGAGUGAAAAAGAACCUGAAACCGUGUACGUACAAGCAGUGGGAGCACGCUUAGGCGUGUGACUGCGUACCUUUUGUAUAAUGGGUCAGCGACUUAUAUUCUGUAGCAAGGUUAACCGAAUAGGGGAGCCGAAGGGAAACCGAGUCUUAACUGGGCGUUAAGUUGCAGGGUAUAGACCCGAAACCCGGUGAUCUAGCCAUGGGCAGGUUGAAGGUUGGGUAACACUAACUGGAGGACCGAACCGACUAAUGUUGAAAAAUUAGCGGAUGACUUGUGGCUGGGGGUGAAAGGCCAAUCAAACCGGGAGAUAGCUGGUUCUCCCCGAAAGCUAUUUAGGUAGCGCCUCGUGAAUUCAUCUCCGGGGGUAGAGCACUGUUUCGGCAAGGGGGUCAUCCCGACUUACCAACCCGAUGCAAACUGCGAAUACCGGAGAAUGUUAUCACGGGAGACACACGGCGGGUGCUAACGUCCGUCGUGAAGAGGGAAACAACCCAGACCGCCAGCUAAGGUCCCAAAGUCAUGGUUAAGUGGGAAACGAUGUGGGAAGGCCCAGACAGCCAGGAUGUUGGCUUAGAAGCAGCCAUCAUUUAAAGAAAGCGUAAUAGCUCACUGGUCGAGUCGGCCUGCGCGGAAGAUGUAACGGGGCUAAACCAUGCAC
rnacentral:rRNA from 1 species